rnacentral:rRNA from 1 species
AACGAACGCUGGCGGCAGGCCUAACACAUGCAAGUCGAGAGCGCCCUUCGGGGUGAGCGGCGGACGGGUGAGUAACGCGUGGGAACGUGCCCUUCUCUGCGGAAUAGCCUCGGGAAACUGAGAGUAAUACCGCAUACGCCCUUUGGGGGAAAGAUUUAUCGGAGAAGGAUCGGCCCGCGUUGGAUUAGGUAGUUGGUGGGGUAAUGGCCCACCAAGCCGACGAUCCAUAGCUGGUUUGAGAGGAUGAUCAGCCACACUGGGACUGAGACACGGCCCAGACUCCUACGGGAGGCAGCAGUGGGGAAUCUUAGACAAUGGGGGCAACCCUGAUCUAGCCAUGCCGCGUGAGUGAUGAAGGCCUUAGGGUUGUAAAGCUCUUUCAGCUGGGAAGAUAAUGACGGUACCAGCAGAAGAAGCCCCGGCUAACUCCGUG